rnacentral:rRNA from 1 species
GGUUGAUCCUGCCAGUAGUCAUAUGCUUGUCUCAAAGAUUAAGCCAUGCAUGUCUAAGUAUAAACUUUUAUACGGUUAAACUGCGAAUGGCUCAUUAUAACAGUUAUAGUUUACUUGAUAAUCUUUACUUACAUGGAUAACCGUGGUAAUUCUAGAGCUAAUACAUGCGAAAAAACUCGACUUUAUGGAAGGGUUGUAUUUAUUAGAUAAAGAACCAAUAUAAUUGGUGACUCAUAAUAACUUUACGGAUCACAUUAAAUGUGACAUAUCAUUCAAGUUUCUGACCUAUCAG